UUGACCUCAAAUCAGGUAGGACUACCCGCUGAACUUAAGCAUAUCAAUAAGCGGAGGAAAAGAAACUAACAAGGAUUCCCCUAGUAACUGCGAGUGAAGCGGGAGAAGCUCAAAUUUGAAAUCUGGCAGUAUUCGAUUGCUGUCCGAGUUGUA
rnacentral:rRNA from 1 species